rnacentral:tRNA from 1 species
GACGAUGUAGUUUAGGGAUUAUAGAACAAUUACUCUGCGAGUAAUAGGCGUUAGUUUAUUUCCGUCGUUG